rnacentral:rRNA from 1 species
CAGCAGCCGCGGGAAAACAGAGGGUGCGAGCGUUAAUCGGAUUUACUGGGCGUAAAGCGUGCGUAGGCGGCUUCUUAAGUCGGAUGUGAAAUCCCUGAGCUUAACUUAGGAAUUGCAUUCGAUACUGGGAAGCUAGAGUAUGGGAGAGGAUGGUAGAAUUCCAGGUGUAGCGGUGAAAUGCGUAGAGAUCUGGAGGAAUACCGAUGGCGAAGGCAGCCAUCUGGCCUAAUACUGACGCUGAGGUACGAAAGCAUGGGGAGCAAACAGGAUUAGAUACCCGCGUAGUCCCUGUCUCUUAUAA